GAUGAAGAACGUAGCGAAAUGCGAUACUUGGGGUGAAUUGCAGAAUCCCGUGAACCAUCGAGUCUUUGAACGCAAGUUGCGCCCGAAGCCAUUAGGCCGAGGGCACGCCUGCCUGGGCGUCACACGUCGUUGCCCCCCCAUCUACUCCUUCGGGAUUGCGGGGGGCGGAUGAUGGCCUCCCGUGCGCCUCGCCGCGCGGUUGGCAUAAAUGCCAAGUCCUCGGCGACGCACGCCACGACAAUCGGUGGUUGCGAAACCUCGGUUGCCCGUCGUGUGCGGUCGUCGCGCAUCGAGGGCUCGAAAAAAUUGCCGGGUUCCGGCUCGGCUUUCAACGCGACCCCAGGUCAGGCGGGGUUACCCGCUGAAUUUAAGCAUAUCAAUAAGCGGAGGA
rnacentral:misc_RNA from 1 species